CCCUUAGAUGUUCUGGGCCGCACGCGCGCUACACUGACACGUUCAUCAAGUCUAUAACCUUGACCGAGAGGUCUGGGUAAUCUUUUAAAAACGUGUCGUGCUGGGGAUAGAUUAUUGCAAUUAUUAAUCUUCAACGAGGAAUUCCUAGUAAACGCAAGUCAUCAACUUUCAUUGAUUACGUCCCUGCCCUUUGUACACACCGCCCGUCGCUACUACCGAUUGAAUGAUUUAGUGAGUACCAGGGACCGAGCGCUUUGGUUGGGUUUCCUUCCCUAGCGCUUGGGAACUGUCGCAAACUUGACCAUUUAGAGGAAGUAAAAGUCGUAACA
rnacentral:rRNA from 1 species